rnacentral:rRNA from 1 species
CCUACGGGAGGCAGCAGUGGGGAAUAUUGCACAAUGGGGGAAACCCUGAUGCAGCGACGCCGCGUGAGGGAAGAAGGUUUUCGGAAUGUAAACCUCUAUCCGCUGUGAAGAUAAUGACGGUAGCAGAGGAAGAAGCUCCGGCUAACUACGUGCCAGCAGCCGCGGUAAUACGUAGGGGGCAAGCGUUGUCCGGAUUUACUGGGUGUAAAGGGUGCGUAGGCGGCUGGGCAAGUCAGAAGUGAAAUCCAAGGGCUUAACCAAUGAACUGCUUUUGAAACUGUCGAGCUGGAGUGAAGGAGAGGUAGGCGGAAUUCCUGGUGUAGCGGUGAAAUGCGUAGAGAUUGGGAGGAACACCAGUGGCGAAGGCGGCUUACUGGGCUUUAACUGACGUUGAGGCACGAAAGCGUGGGGAGCAAACAGGAUUAGAUACCCGGGUAGUC